CUAGGGUUUGGUUAUUGUUUAGCUAAGGUCCAUUGAAUUGGACUUAGUAUAGUAUUUCACGUGGUUUUGAAAUUGUUGCUGAUAAAAGAAGUAGAUGAGGAUUGUGCAUAUCUGGUUAAUUAAGGGGUCUGUACAGUAGUUCUUCAAGUAGAGAUAUUAAAUUGGACUUAAGAGCUGGAUAUGAGACUGUUUUUUUGUUGUAGCUAAUUAUGAAAGUUGUUUAGUGGUUUUUGAAUAACUCUUUGAAUUCCUUUUAGUUGUCUAUUUGACUCAAUGAAUCAAUUCUUUAUUUGGCCACCAUAUUCACUGAUUGAUUUCAAUUUUCAAGUAUACGAUUCUUAGUUGGACUAGCAUAGCAAUUUCAUUUUAGCAUUGUUCUUCUUUCAUCAAAGGAUUGUAGCAAUGUUCUUCUUCAUCAAUAGUAUGCCAUUAUUUAUUUUUUUGUUAUCCAACUAAUUUCUACAUGUGUAGCAUUAUGAUUAAUUUGGUGACCAUAUGGGAUUUCAAUAAAUAUGGAUUAUUUACAUCAUGGAGGAUAUCCAGGAGGUCCUCAGGACCCUAGUUUAUUUCAACUUCAUCCAGAACAUUGUUCAUAAUUCAUAUGGGAAUAACAGGUAAAUGCAUAUAUUCAUCUACCCAUUCUAUUUAUUUGUUAAUUUUCAAUAAAUGGUAGUCUGAUUCAAACUUCUGUGGAAAGUACAUGUAUAUAUAUUGAUUCUAAUAUGUUGUCUAUUUGUUCUAUUUCAAGAGAAAGAAGAAAUUAAAAUUGAUGAGAAGAGUUAUCAAUUAAAUGAAUAGAAAUUAACAAGAGAACAAGUUCAGUUAGUUCAUGCUUCUGGGUUGGGUCCGUUGGCUAUCAUUCGGUCAGGUUGAAUUGAUCAUCCUUUAGUCGCAGCUAAUAUAGAGAGGUGGCAUUCUGAAACCAACACCUUUCAUUUCAACAUUCAUAUUGGUGCGAUGACACCAACAAUUUUGAUGUAUACGAGAUAUUAGGACUAGUUGUGGAUGGUGAUCCAAUCACAUGUCGUCCUAUCAAGGACCAGCGAAAGUUUAUAGAAGAUAAUUUGGGUAUAGUCCCUGAUGGCAACUUGGCAAGCUUGAGGCAUACAUGGCUGAAGGUGAAUUUUAAGGAAUUGUCACUUGAUGCAACCCCAGUUCAAGUUUAUAGAUAUACUCAAGCAUAUAUGCUCUUCCUCAUUAGUAUAACCAUAUUCGCUGAUGCAUCAGUUUCAACAGUGUCAAUAAGGUACAUGCAGUUUUUUGAAGAUAUUGAGGGUGCCAGCAUAUAUGCUUGGGGUGCUGCAGCCCUUGCAUUCCUCUAUCGCUCACUUGAAAAAGUUUGCACUUUCAAGCGAAGACAUUUUAGUGGUUUAACCACUCUCAUGCAGAUAAUUGACAGCAGGCAUUUCAAACUACAAUGUGCCCUACAACUUUGAUAUUUGACGAUAUUGCCGAGUUAUACAUGCCAGACCGAGUAUGCCGACAAUUUGGAGCAAAACAGGUCAUUCCUAGGAAUCCCUUAGUUGUUAAUAAGAGGGCAAGCAGACAAGUUGGAUAGCGAGAUUAGUGAAACGUCAAUGCAGAUAAAAUCGCUAACUGGUUGUCUCGCCAUGACCGUAUCAUGCAUGAUAUUCAACAAGAUACUGAUAAUGGGUUGCCCUCAUAAGAGUACAAGGCCUGGUACAACUUGGUGUCUCAUCUUUUGAUACAUAAUGUCGCUAACCCACCCAAAGACAUAUUGCAACCUCAUAUCUAUAAAGAAGAAGAAGUGGUUCCUGCUCAUGAACCACAAUAUAUAAUGAGACCCGAGGUUAUGAGGACCAGUUUGUUAGUGCAGUUAAGGCAUCUACAAUCAUGUUAGCAAAGGCACUUACACUCUGACAUGAGUGGUAGCCUGAAGUUCUUAAUCGCGUUAACAACACGUUAGAAAUGUUGUCUAAAUUUGUGCCUAUGGAUAUGGGUGACGUAGAAAGCUAGGAUGGAGCAUUUACAACGUCAAUAUAAUAACAAAGUUGUACCUGACGAGGCCGAAGAUGGAGUGGGUCAAAGUAGUCUGGCUGUAGAAGACCUAGCUCCCUCUGCACAACCUGCAGUUGAGGAACGCAUAAAAUAUAACACACAAAAUAAACAGUAUCAGCCUAAGAGAAGGUGAGGCGUGUAAUGGGUCAUUUUGAGGGUCAU